UCAGUAUCGACCUCUGGUCUCUACAUAUAUGCACACACAUCCAGCAGGCAAAGUACCUUCUAUCAGCACGCAUGGGAUUCAGUUGGAGUGAAGCUUCUUGUUGGGCACCAGCUCAAUUUCUUCAUUUUUUGAAGAUUCAGGGAUCUACAUG